GACGAACGCUGGCGGCGUGCUUAACACAUGCAAGUCGAACGGAAAGGCCCUGCUUUUGUGGGGUGCUCGAGUGGCGAACGGGUGAGUAACACGUGAGUAACCUGCCCUUGACUUUGGGAUAACUUCAGGAAACUGGGGCUAAUACAGGAUAGGAGCUCCUGCUGCAUGGUGGGGGUUGGAAAGUUUCGGCGGUUGGGGAUGGACUCGCGGCUUAUCAGCUUGUUGGGGGGGUAGUGGCUUACCAAGGCUUUGACGGGUAGCCGGCCUGAGAGGGUGACCGGCCACAUUGGGACUGAGAUACGGCCCAGACUCCUACGGGAGGCAGCAGUGGGGAAUAUGGCACAAUGGGCGGAAGCCUGAUGCAGCAGCGCCGCGUGCGGGAUGACGGCCUUCGGGUUGUAAACCGCUUUCGCCUGUGACGAAGCGUGAGUGACGGUAAUGGGUAAAGAAGCACCGGCUAACUACGUG
rnacentral:rRNA from 1 species